rnacentral:rRNA from 1 species
GACGAACGCUGGCGGCGUGCCUAACACAUGCAAGUCAACUUGACUGAAGGAGCAAUCUGACAGUAGAGUGGCGCAAGGGUGCGUAACGCGUAAGUAACUUGCCCCAAGGUAAGGAAUAACGUCGAGAAAUCGGCGCUAAUACCUCAUAAUGCAGCGGAUCCGCAUGGAUAUGUUGUUAAAGGUUUACCGCCUUGGGAUAGGCUUGCGUCUGAUUAGCCAGUUGGUGUGGUAACGGCACACCAAGGCUACGAUCAGUAACUGGUCUGAGAGGAUGAUCAGUCACACUGGAACUGAGACACGGUCCAGACUCCUACGGGAGGCAGCAGUGAGGAAUAUUGGGCAAUGCUCGAAAGAGUGACCCAGCAACGCCGCGUGGAGGAUGAAGGUAUUCUAUAUCGUAAACUCCUGUGAGAGCAGACGAAAGACAGAUUAUAAUCUGGAUGACUGUAUGCUCAGAGGAAGCCCCGGCGUAA